UGGAUAACUGAGGUAAUUCUUGAGCUAAUACACGCUAUUUAUACCACAUUAGUGGUGCGUUUAUUUGAUUAAACCAUUUUUAUAUUGGUUGACUCAAAAUAUCCUCGCUGAUUUUGUUACUAAAACAUACCGUAUGUGUAUCUGGUUUAUCAACUUUCGAUGGUAGGGUAUUGGCCUACCAUGGUUGUGACGGAUAACGGAGAAUUAGGGUUCGACUCCGGAGAGGGAGCCUGAGAAACGGCUACCACAUCCAAGGAAGGCAGCAGGCGCGAAAAUUACCCAAUUUUAGUUAAAAGAGGUAGUGACGAAAAAUGACAACCAAAUAUUAUUAUUAAUAUUUGGAUUGAAAAUCUUCAAGUAUAAAUAACU
rnacentral:rRNA from 1 species